CAAUGAUGAUGAUGAUGAUGAUGAUGAUGAUGAUGAUGGUGAAAAAGAUAGUAGUUGGAAGAGAAGGAAUAAAACAGCCAUAUUAUCAUCAUUAUUGUCAUUAUCAUCUCAAUUG
rnacentral:miRNA from 1 species